ensembl:snoRNA SNORD115 Small nucleolar RNA SNORD115
GGGUCAAUGAUGAAAACUCAUACUGAGGAGAGAUGAUGAUUUAAAAAUCAUGCUCAGGAACCUUCCAGCUGGUGCCG